AGGAAGCUGUCAUCACACCAUCUGACAAAUUCCAUAAGGGCGCCGUUAGGAUCAGAUUGAGUCGUCUGAAAACUUCACCAAGUAGCUGUUCUCCCAAGAUGACCUGCAGUUGUCAGUGUAUAAUAUAAAAAGCAGGGGGGAAGAGUAUGCAGCCCUGGGGAGGGAUUGUGUUGGAUACAAUGACAGAGCACAUAUUUCCAUUUACAUAGACCUGCUGCCCUCUGUUUGUUAAAACAUGUAAAACUAGUAAUAAGAUCUGCUCGGGUAACUUAAAAUAUGAGGCUAGUUGUUCGAUUAGAAUGCAAGGCUUUAUUUUGUUGAAGGCUGAACUGAAGUCAGCAAAUAAAAGUCUUGCAUGUGAUGCAGGUUUCUCAAGAUGUUUAUACACCCUGUCAAGAAUGAAGAGCUUUGCAUCCUCUCACACAUGACGUUGUGCAAGACAUGCUGCAUGGACACAGUGGUUGGUUUGGAAAGCCCCAGCAAUAACAGGCAAGCUCACAUUCUGGCAGAGGCAGAGUGAUAAAAACACUGCGCCAGUACUCUCCAAGUCCAACUUUUGAUGUCAUUGUUUAAGGACAGCACACUCCAUGAAGACAGUGAGACAAAGAGAAGAACUGUGCCUUUAAUGCCCGGACACUAGCAUGAAGAACACAAGAUGGCGUCAUGAGACCACGGAAUUGAGGACAUAUUCAAUAUUAAACAAUGUUAUUGAAAACCUAGUUGACACAUGAA